ACCCUUACACAGAGGAAUGGUGGGAAGGAGUUGGGUAUUUCCCCCUUGGAGCCUUCCAGCAUGGGCUGUUGGCACUGAGACUGCAGAAUCUUUGGCCGGAGAUAGGCAGGGAAAUGCUUUUAUUUACAGGCAGCCUUGGAGAAGGUCCUAGAAAGCAAGGAGAAAGGAAAGGCACUGAAGGGAUGUGGUGUGGUCAGAUUCUGCGUGAUUUUUCAGGAGUGGAUGGUGACAAGGGACAGGGAUACACGGACACAGCCUAAAAAAAUUUAUAUUUCUUAAAUGAAAAGACGUCUGAUCCUGAUGAUUCUGGAAAAGGCAAAAACCAGCAGGGAUUACACCAGGAACAGCCUGAGCCUGGAUUUCUCCAAGUCCUGCAGCAGAGGGUUUUUUUGCUGAAGCGAUCGGGCUCUACUCGGGGAGAUAAGGACAAAGUGUUUCGUGAGGAAAAAGAUAAAUUCCUGAAGAAAACAGAGAAAAUGAGGAGGAAAAAGGAGAGUUUGGGCUGACAAAAGGCCGGGGCUGCCCCUCACGGCCCCCGAGGCGCUGCUCCCUGCGCUCGCUUCACAAAAUGGCCGCCCGGCGGGGCCGCGGGAGCGGCACGGAGGCGACAAAAUGGCGGCGGGCGGAGAGCGGGGAAAGGACGGGGGAGCAGCGGCUGCAGUGCCAAAGCGGCAUGGGCACGGCAGAGGGGCUUUGAAACUGUGCGAAUCCCCUCCGGACGGGCGGCUGCGGGUGAAACCUGACCUUCUUCUUAUUCCCCCUCCGUCCUCCCCUUUUCUUCUCGCCGCCUUUGCGACAGGAUGCGAAAAUGGCCAGAAGUGUUUUCAUUCGGCCCCCGGUCUUCUCCCCUCACUUCAGCCCCCCCGCUCCCCCAGUGUUAGCCCUAAAAUGUUUGGGUUUUUUUUUUUCCCCCACUGAAGGUUUUUAAUUUUUUUUCCCCCUCACAUUUUUUUCCCCCUCAGCUGAGGGGUUUUGAGCAAGAAUUGUGCUUUCCACACGACGUCCACCCUUCCCUUCAUCAUUAUCACAUGCAACCCCAAGGUGGGUGGUUUUAUGCCCAAUUCUUUUCUUUUCCACCGCUCUUCCCCUCGCAGGGGUCGAAGCCGCCAUCUCCCGGUCUCCUCACGGCAUGGAAAAUCCCCAAAGGUGCUUGGGGGAGAAGAAAAAAAAACCCAGAAAAAAAAAGUCCCAAACGCCCGAGGAUUGAUUUAUCAUCAGAGCCGCAGUAGUAUGGGAAGAAGUCAUCAGUGCUCGCCUGCUCCCCACGACAGCUCGCCCGCCAUUCGCUUAAUUAAAAUCAUAUUUUGGUGUGAUCAGAUGUAGUAAUACCAUUUAAAAAAACCCAAAUCCCGUAACAUCCAGACGCUUGUUGUUGGAGGCUGUAGCCAAGUCCAUGAUGGAAGUUUGUGCCUGAAUGUUUUAUUUGUUCCACAGAGAUGUAGAUUUUCCUUGGGAGAAUUGGGAAGGAUUAUUUUUUAAUGAAAAAGAGGAAAAAAAUGCACCCAGAAAAAAACAAAACCAAAACAAACAAUGAAAAAGAAACAAAAAGGAAAGAAGCACAACAAAACCAAACCGCAGUAAGUGAAGCUGCAAAUGCAACCGAAUAGUCCGGAUCAGACAAUUCAUUGCACAAAAAAGGAUAAAUGGAACUGCAAUGGCCGGCUUUGCUGUAGAUCCAGGAGGAGGGAUCAGCUCCUUUAUCCCACCAUCUCGCGCUACAAACACCACCAUUUUUUUUUCUCUCUCUUUUUUUUUUUCUUUUUUUUUUCUUUUCUUAAUGCUUUGUUGGGGCGUUUUGUUUCGAGCCGAGGCCGCUGCACCACCCCCCGAGCCGGAGCUGCCAGAGCCGCUCGGGGGCUUCACUUACACAGAGAUCUCUUAUUUUUCCCCGGCCUUGUGCAAUCCUCUCCCUUUUAGUACAUGGGUUUUUUUCUUCUCCCCUCUGCGGGUAUCAAGGUUCCUCUCCUCUCUCCAGCUUGGCUGCUUAUUCCAGAAGUUUCCACGGGGGCGGGGAGCCCCCACUGCGGCGCCUUUGCCGCAGAGCCGGGCAGGAGGAGGAGGAGGAUGCGGAGGAUGUGCCACCUCUCCCUGGCUGGGAGCCUCAUUCCCCGCCGCUCCCCCUUGCUCCGUUCCCCCAGCCUUGAAAACAGAGUGCUGGGAGCUGUUUGCAGCUUGGAGGGGUUUGUUUUUUUUAUUUUUAAAUUUUUUUUCCUAAAUAAACGGAAAGCAGAGCUGUCGCUGAUGGAGAUGGAUGAGGCAGGGCUAGCAGCGCCGCAGCCCUGCUCCGGCGUGGCCAUGGCACCGAUGGCAUCAGUGACCUUUCCCAGCCGGUGGAGGGGGGAUUCCCCCCCGCCUCAGCAUGCUUUUGCUUGGAAUUCAUUUUAAAUAGCAGGAGUAUUAUUUUUCCGUUUUCCUUCCCCCUCCCCAUUUCUCCUUCACUGUUUUGUUUGGUUUUUUUUUUUUUUCCACGAAGCUUCCUCAUGAUCUUUUAUUUUCUUCCUGUGUGUGUUUUGAAUUGCGUUUUAAAAUUACCCAGCUGGAGACAAGGCUUGAUUAGAGCUGGAACAAUAGCUCUCUUUUAUUAAUAACGGGAAGGAUUUACAAUCGUACAGCACCUUCCUUGGAAAGCUUUCCAAACCAUUUGCAAACACUCACAAAUUUCAGAAUGUGCAGCCCUUGGCUGUGAGGUGGGUAAGUAUAUAAUGGUGCCACCACCCAAAAUCACCUCGGUGCCAAGCCUCAGUUUCUGAGUGCCUUAAAAGAUGACCGAUUUGGUUGGGUUUUUUUUUGGUGAGGGGUGGUGGGUGGGGUGUGGAGCUGGCUAAAACCUGUAACCUAAAUCUGUGGAUGCAGAGUAUUUGCUGCGUCCUGGGAACUGGGCUGUUCUUCCUCCAGCCACGCAGCUUUUCUGAGCUGAACUGUAGAUUUGCUGCAUGUCAGUAAACAUCUGCUUAUGGAUUUUUAUUUUUUUUUAAUCCAUUCCCUUUUUGCAGUCCCUGAGUGACCUCCUGCAGUGCUGCCUCCACUGCGGUUCCACCACAGCUUUGCACUGGAGCACUAAUGUUUGUCCCUGUGAGCCAGAGUGACCUUGCUGGGGGUACUGGGCCCACCGAACAAUUCAGGUGCUCUGCUUUGGUCCCAAAUCCCUGCACCCUGUUUUUUCCAGCACAUCCCCUCACUCAGGGGGAUGCUUAUGGGUUAAAGCUGUUUAAUGCCUUAUUUUUUUUUCUCUCUGUUGUUUUGAUUUGGUUUUUUUUUCCUUUUUUUGUUCUAUCUGGUUUUGUUUGUUUAUUUCCAAGGGAAACAAUUUAUUGUUUAUGUAACCCCUCUCCUCAGCAGAUCCCUACAAACCAAGCAGGGAUCCAGGAGUCACCCAGGCAGUGGGAUGUGCCCUUUCCAGAAGCAUGAGGGACAAGGCUUCAGCCAUGUCUGCAUGUGUUACACACAGGCCACACAAAACCACAGUGUUCCUGUGGUUACUUCUGUCUGCAGAGCAUGAGUGGGUCCUAGGGCUUCCCUCUUCCCACUGCUUGCUGGUUCACAAAGGCUGAUGCUUCUGGAAAAACCUCUGCCUUGUGGUCUUCAAAAUAAAUAAAUAAAGCAGCACUGCUGUGGA